AACCUGAUGAAGAGUGCUAAACCAGGACGAAACAGCUGUCCAGGUU
rfam:Trichobilharzia regenti genome assembly, scaffold: TRE_scaffold0040534